GGGGAUGUGGCUCAGUGGUAGAGUGCUUGCCUAGUAUGCAGGAGCCUCUGGGUUUAAUCCUAGCACCA
rnacentral:tRNA from 1 species